ACACAUGCAAGUCGAGGGGCAGCAUGGUCUUUUCUUGCUAAGGCCGAUGGCGACCGGCGCACGGGUGAGUAACGCGUAUCCAACCUGCCUUACACUCUUGGACAGCCUUCUGAAAGGGAGAUUAAUACAAGAUGUUAUCAUGAGUAAGCAUUUUCGCAUGAUUAAAGGUUUACCGGUGUAAGAUGGGGAUGCGUUCCAUUAGAUAGUAGGCGGGGUAACGGCCCACCUAGUCUUCGAUGGAUAGGGGUUCUGAGAGGAAGGUCCCCCACAUUGGAACUGAGACACGGUCCAAACUCCUACGGGAGGCAGCAGUGAGGAAUAUUGGUCAAUGGACGAGAGUCUGAACCAGCCAAGUAGCGUGAAGGAUGAAGGUUCUAUGGAUUGUAAACUUCUUUUAUACGGGAAUAAACGAAUCCACGUGUGGAUUUUUGCAUGUACCGUAUGAAUAAGGAUCGGCUAACUCCGUGCCAGCAGCCGCGGUAAUACGGAGGAUCCGAGCGUUAUCCGGAUUUAUUGGGUUUAAAGGGAGCGUAGAUGGGUUGUUAAGUCAGUUGUGAAAGUUUGCGGCUCAACCGUAAAAUUGCAAUUGAUACUGGCAGUCUUGAGUACAGUUGAGGUAGGCGGAAUUCGUGGUGUAGCGGUGAAAUGCUUAGAUAUCACGAAGAACUCCGAUUGCGAAGGCAGCUUACUAACCUGUAACUGACAUUGAUGCUCGAAAGUGUGGGUAUCAAACAGGAUUAGAUACCCUGGUAGUCCACACGGUAAACGAUGAAUACUCGCUGUAGGCGAUAUACAGUCUGCGGCCAAGCGAAAGCAUUAAGUAUUCCACCUGGGGAGUACGCCGGCAACGGUGAAACUCAAAGGAAUUGACGGGGGCCCGCACAAGCGGAGGAACAUGUGGUUUAAUUCGAUGAUACGCGAGGAACCUUACCCGGGCUUAAAUUGCAACCGAAUAUGGCGGAAACGCUAUAGCUAGCAAUAGCGGUUGUGAAGGUGCUGCAUGGUUGUCGUCAGCUCGUGCCGUGAGGUGUCGGCUUAAGUGCCAUAACGAGCGCAACCCUUGCCGAUAGUUACUAACAGGUCAUGCUGAGGACUCUGUCGGGACUGCCAUCGUAAGAUGUGAGGAAGGUGGGGAUGACGUCAAAUCAGCACGGCCCUUACGUCCGGGGCUACACACGUGUUACAAUGGGGGGUACAGAGGGCUGCUACCACGCAAGUGGAUGCCAAUCCCAAAAACCUCUCUCAGUUCGGAUUGAAGUCUGCAACCCGACUUCAUGAAGCUGGAUUCGCUAGUAAUCGCGCAUCAGCCACGGCGCGGUGAAUACGUUCCCGGGCCUUGUACACACCGCCCGUCAAGCCAUGGGAGCCGGGGGUACCUGAAGUGCGUAACCGCAAGGAGCGCCCUAGGGUAAAACUGGUGACUG
rnacentral:rRNA from 1 species